rnacentral:rRNA from 1 species
CUGGUUAGUGGCAAACGGGUGAGUAAUACAUAAGUAACUUACCCUUAAGUUUGGGAUAACUUUCCGAAAGGGGAGCUAAUACCGGAUAUUCUUUUAUUAUCAUAUGAUUUUAAAAGGAAAGGUUUACUGCUUAAGGAUAGGCCUAUGUCUGAUUAGUUUGUUGGUGGGGUAAUGGCCUACCAAGGCGAUGAUCAGUAGCUGGUCUGAGAGGAUGAUCAGCCACACUGGGACUGAGACACGGCCCAG